rnacentral:lncRNA from 1 species
UUACAUAGGAUUUUAUUUGAAUCAUAGUCGGUUGGUCCAGUAGAUAGAAAUGAGCUAUCCAAUUAUGCUAUACAAUACUACAAUUAAUUAACACGGAGGAUCGUGAUGGGAGGAUUAUGAAUUUUUUACUCUCAAGUCUUAAUUAAGUAUUACGAGUUCGAGUCGUAAAUAUGGUUUCUUCACUCUUACUCAAACAUUCCGGCUUCAAGCGAUGAGGGCAAAACUAAAUUUGCUUAGCUCUGCUUCUAUUUAAGAUAUCCAUGUUUUAACUUUUGAUGCCUGCUAAAUUACUUUGUUUUAACACGUUUUAUCGAUAAUUCAUAUCAGCGUUUUGCACCUUGCCUUAUGUACCUCCACAAAAGAAAAGUAAGUGUUGAAGUGAUAGCACAAUGAAGAUUCUUCCUGUUAAGGACUUAGCUUAGUGAAGACAUACACUUAUAUUUUGUUUUAGUAUGUUUUGUUUAUUAUUACCAUAAUGAGUAAUGAUAUUAAUUACUUUGUAGUGCAUAUAUUUUACUUCAAAAUUUUUAUUUGUUUUAGCAUUUUCUGUUUAUUAUCUUUCUACUAUAUUAGAAGUGCGAGUAAGUAGGUGAAAUUGACAGCACUUCGUCGACAUCCCUGCUUGCCGACAGACAAUAUUUUGGUAUUUUUUUCGAUUUAAAAUUUCAAUUAUGCCCUUCUAAUAUUGGAUUUUUGCGCCUCCGAAAAGGAUUUUAUGGUAAUUUGCACAUAAGCCGAAAAGGUUGCCGCUUCAAGUUUGUGUUUAUCCUUUCCUUUGCGUUUCUUCUUCCGUAGUUUUCUCUUGUUUUCGUUUGGAUUUACAUAGCUUCUUCCUACUGAUUUCCACACUUCUCACCAAAAAAAAAAAAUCAACUUGGAGUUGUUAAUCUCAAGUUGCGCAAUCGAGGUUUGCAAUGAUUAUUUACUUUCAGUCACUGAUUUCUCUGAAGAACAGAGUUCUAAUACUCAGACAGUUACAGAAUCUUUUGGAUGUUUUCUUCUCGGAAAAUAUUCAACUACUUAUAUAUCCUUAUCCAUUUAAUUGUAAGUUUUUCAACUUCUUCGUGCUUCUUGGAUUAAUUCCAGUUGCAAAAAUAGCAGCAAAAGAUUAUUUCUUUAGUAUUGUGUGAUUCAUUAGUUCAAUUUUCCCAGUUUGAUUGAUUAAGAUAUUUAAGAAGAGUUAAAUGAGCUAAUCCAUCAGGCAAAACUCGAUGAUGUCCAUUAACAUAUAAAAUUGCUUCCUUUGACUCAUCUCCCAUCCUUUCUAUUUUUUACUCUCAUCCAUCAAUGAACCCAUUUUUCAAAGAUUUGAUUUUUUUCAGUAAUGAAAAAUUAUUUUAGCUUUGAUGAUUGAAGGAGACAAAAGAAAGAAAAGUUUAGUUUAUAUUACUGAAAAAAAGAUUUGAAAAGAGUAAUAUGUUACAUGUAAGUUACAUAGGAUUUUAUUUGAAUCAUAGUCGGUUGGUCCAGUAGAUAGAAAUGAGCUAUCCAAUUAUGCUAUACAAUACUACAAUUAAUUAACACGGAGGAUCGUGAUGGGAGGAUUAUGAAUUUUUUACUCUCAAGUCUUAAUUAAGUAUUACGAGUUCGAGUCGUAAAUAUGGUUUCUUCACUCUUACUCAAACAUCCCGGCUUCAAGCGAUGAGGGCAAAAAUAAAUUUGCUUAGCUCUGCUUCUAUUUAAGAUAUCCAUGUUUUAACUUUUGAUGCCUGCUAAAUUACUUUGUUUUAACACGUUUUAUCGAUAAUUCAUAUCAGCGUUUUGCACCUUGCCUUAUGUACCUCCACAAAAGUAAAGUAAGUGUUGAAGUGAUAGUACAAUGAAGAUUCUUCUUGUUGAGGACUUAGCUUAGUGAAGACAUAC